GCACAACGCGAAGAACCUUACCUAGACUUGACAUCUCCUGAAUUACCCGUAACUGGGGAAGCUCUUCGGAGCAGGAAGACAGGUGGUGCAUGGUUGUCGUCAGCUCGUGUCGUGAGAUGUUGGGUUAAGUCCCGCAACGAGCGCAACCCUUAUUGUUAGUUGCUACCAUUAAGUUGAGCACUCUAGCGAGACUGCCGGGGUUAACUCGGAGGAAGGUGGGGAUGACGUCAAAUCAUCAUGCCCCUUAUGUCUAGGGCUACACACGUGCUACAAUGGCGAGUACAACAAGACGCUAAGCCGCGAGGUGGAGCAAAACUGUAAAACUCGUCCCAGUUCGGAUUGUAGGCUGAAACUCGCCUACAUGAAGCCGGAGUUGCUAGUAAUCGCGAAUCAGCAUGUCGCGGUGAAUACGUUCCCGGGUCUUGUACACACCG
rnacentral:rRNA from 1 species